CGAAAGCCACCUUCAGUUGAAAAUAAUCAGAAUAAGUUAGGAGGGAAAUUCGACGGAGAAGAGGCAUAGCGAUGGCCGGCGGAGACGUAAGGAAGGAAGAGAGUGACGGCUAAUUUUUUGAAUCGAUUAUCGACAAGAUAUGUUGUUCAUCGACAAGCUCUGGGGCAGGUCUAACUUUUUUACCUAAAGCUAGACUGUGAAGACUGGCAAUGGAAAUGCGCUUUUUCUCUGAGUUAACUGUUGCUCGGUGGACAACACCUUUGUAUCGACCAUUGCUCAAUACUUCCAUGUGAUCUCCCACCAGAACAAUGAGGCUUCCUUCAAUGACUGGAACCGAAUGCCACUUUUCAUCUCGAUCCAUGAUUUGCAAGCCCUGAUGAUUUUGAAGAAUGAUGGAUAGCAAAGAAUAAUCUGUGUGUGGUGGCAAGCCUAGUGCAAGAUCCGGCUCAGGACAUGCUGGAUAGCAAUUAACGGCAAUGACCUGGGAGCCUUUUGCAAUGUCUUCAUUUCCUUGCAGGCCAGGUGUACUUGCUGGAUUAUUUGAGGCCGAAGAAGAGGGUGUUGCAGUAAGGAUAGAUCCACAAUUGGCAAGCAUGUGUUGGAGUUGGACAAGGUUCCGUUGGGGUGUAGGGAUGAUGGAACGA